UACGUAGGGACCAAGCGUUGUUCGGAUUUACUGGGCGUAAAGAGCGCGCAGGCGGUCGAUCAAGUCGAGUGUGAAAGCCCCCGGCUCAACUGGGGAGGGUCAUUCGAAACUGGUCGACUCGAAGGCAGGAGAGGGUAGUGGAAUUCCCGGUGUAGUGGUGAAAUGCGUAGAUAUCGGGAGGAACACCAGUGGCGAAGGCGACUACCUGGCCUGUUCUUGACGCUGAGGCGCGAAAGCUAGGGGAGCAAACGGG
rnacentral:rRNA from 1 species